UCGGUUUCGCGUGACAAAAAAUUGGGAAAUGUUUGCGCUCGAGGGAUGAACGUCACCGACAUGCUGCUCGCUGGAAGAAAAAGGAAAAGGCGAGACUGCUUGUUGUGCCGCUUAACUGUGGGAGCAUUCGGACAGACGUGACGUCAUCAGCUUUGCACGUUAGAGCGGCCUGAAGUACAGGUCAUCUGCGUGGAUCUUGGUGGCGGGAGCAGGAAGACUGGGAGCCUCGGGCUUUGAAACCCGGGGCCGGAUCUUCUGAGUCGUACGGGGGGCUUCCGGCUCGAUAAAGUUAUUUUCCUCUCUUUCCUCUGCUGCAAGUUGACUCCCAGAUUCUGUCCAAUCUGUGGCAGUAAACCCGCAGGACCGUGCUCCCACAGACAGGUCUCGGCCCACUCCUCCGCCGUGCGCUCCAGCUCGGUGUCCCACUCCUGAACAU